CACCAGCAAUUCGACCAUGUCGGGAUGGGUGCGGUUCUGCGUCACGCGCGCCAUAUCGUCGAAGAACUGAUCCUCACUGUAGGUGCCGAAGUCGGUGUUUUCUUUUUCGCUGUCGGAGAGAUCCGGCAUCAGUGCGUAGAGAUCGUCCACCGUGUUGUAGGCGACGCGCAUGGCGCCGGCGGUGAAACUCGAAUUACCGCCAUGCUCGCCUUCCGGCGCGCAUUCCAGAACGGCGACGCUGACGCCGUGC
rnacentral:misc_RNA from 1 species